rnacentral:piRNA from 1 species
UGCAACGCACAGAUUGAGAACUGCUGGU